AUGAGGCAAAGAAAGGUACUUUUUUUUGUCUUGAAUACAACGUGUUAUCUUUGGGGAAAUUCCAACACAUCACUGAGUCCCACUCUUCCUAUUUUCAAGCAUGUUAGUGGCUCUAUCAUGUUAUGGGUAUGCUUGUCAUCAAAACAGACUACAGCUAAGCACAGGCAAAAUCCUAGGGGAAAACCUGGUUGUCUUAUUCGUGUGUGUCGUAUGAUUGACAGGUUUAAGAAGUACAAGCAGGCCGGCAGCCAUUCCAACUCCUUCAGGCUGACCAACGGUAGAUCAGAUGAUACAGAGCUCCAGAGUGUGCCGCUAUUGGCCCGCUCGCCUAGCACCAACAGGAAGUACCCACCCCUUGUUGUUGACAAGCUGGAGGAGGAUAUGAAUCGUCGCAUGGCUGAUGACAACAAGCUCUUCCGGGAGGAGUUCAAUGCGCUGCCGGUGUGUCCUAUCCAGGCGUCAUGCGACGCGGCCUCUAAGGAGGAGAACAAGGAGAAGAACCGAUACGUCAACAUCCUGCCAUAUGAUCACUCCAGGGUGCAUCUGUCGUCUCUAGAGGGAGUUCCAGACUCUGACUUCGUCAAUGCGUCCUUCAUCAACGGUUACCAAGAGAAGAACAAGUUCAUUGCAGCUCAAGGGCCAAAGGAGGAGACGGUAAACGACUUCUGGAGAAUGAUCUGGGAACAGAACACCGCCACCAUCGUGAUGGUGACCAACCUGAAGGAGAGAAAAGAGUGUAAGUGUGCCCAGUACUGGCCUGACCAGGGCUGCUGGACCUACGGCAACAUCCGGGUCUCUGUGGAAGACAUGAUGGUGCUGGUGGACUACACUAUCCGCAAGUUCUGCAUCCAACAGGUGGGGGAUGUGGGGGGUAAGAAGCCCCAGCGGCUGGUGACCCAGUUCCACUUCACCAGCUGGCCAGACUUUGGCGUUCCCUUCACACCCAUCGGCAUGCUUAAGUUCCUCAAGAAGGUCAAGACCUGCAACCCCCAGUACUCUGGCCCCAUCGUGGUCCACUGCAGUGCGGGGGUGGGGAGGACAGGUACCUUCAUAGUGAUAGACGCCAUGUUGGAUAUGAUGAACACCGAGAGGAAGGUGGACGUCUUUGGCUUCGUCACGCGCAUCAGAGCCCAGCGCUGCCAAAUGGUCCAGACCGACAUGCAAUACGUGUUCAUCUUCCAGGCCAUGCUGGAGCACUACCUGUACGGAGACACAGAGCUGGAGGUGACCUCCCUGGAGUCCCACCUGGCCAAGCUCUACGCCCCCUCCGCCGCCGGCUGUGGGGGCAUGGAAGCAGAGUUCAAGAAGCUGACCUCCAUCAAGAUCCAGAACGACAAGAUGAGGACGGGCAACCUGCCGGCAAACAUGAAGAAGAACCGAGUUCUCCAGAUCAUCCCAUACGAGUUCAACAGAGUGAUCAAUCCAGUCAAGAGAGGGGAGGAGAGCACGGAUUAUGUCAACGCUUCCUUCAUUGAUGGCUACCGUCAGAAGGACUCGUACAUGGCCAGUCAGGGCCCGCUGCAGCACACCAUCGAAGACUUCUGGAGGAUGAUCUGGGAGUGGAGGAGCUGUUCCAUAGUCAUGCUCACUGAGCUGGAGGAGAGAGGACAGGUAUGGAGAGAUGGACCUUUUACUCAGCCCAGUCAUCUGAAGAGGGAGGAGGAGAGUGAGAAAAUGUGUAACCUAACAUCCAACACUGUAGCAUUUGCCAUUUAUUGUUGUGUUUUUUUUUUGUGGGUGGGCGUGCGUCUAACCUUGGUUUAUCUCUGUGUGUGUGUUGUCAGUGCGGGCGCGGGGCGGACGGGGACCUUCUGUGCCCUGAGUACGGUCCUGGAGCGGGUGAAGGCUGAGGCCAUCCUGGAUGUCUUUCAGACUGUCAAGAGCCUCCGGCUGCAGAGGCCCCACAUGGUGCAGACACUGGAGCAGUACGAGUUCUGCUACAAAGUGGUCCAGGAGUAUAUCGAUGCUUUUUCUGACUACGCCAACUUCAAGUAGGGACCCACACAGGGGACGGACAUCCGUACACAGUCAUAAACACACACCAAACCCACACGUACCCGACGGAAAGAAACAAACUGUUCACGGCUUAGAUGACUGGGCAGCCUGCGUGCACAGAGGAAAAGGGAAUUGAAGUUUUGUGACGGAGCCAAGUGCAGCGCUGCAGUGUACCGGAGGGAGUGAAUAUCAGAGAUGCCUUCUUGAAUAUUUUGUAAUAUUGAGCUUGUUAAUACGGCCCCUUGUACCUACCCCCCCCCACAUCGACACUCCCCAAUCCACCCAAUGUACAUAUACUGUACUUACCCUGUCACAUUUUUUUUUUUUUUUUUAGGUCAAGUUUAAGUUUGGCUGCAUUUUUAGGGUGACAUAAUGUGUUUUAUGGGUAUGUGUGUGUACAUAGACCGUGCCAGUCAAAGGUUUGGACACACUUACUCAUUCAAGGGUUUUUCUUUAUUUGUACUAUUUUCUACAUUGUAGAAUAAUAGUGAAGACACAAACUAUGAAGUAACACAUAUGAAAUCAUGUACUAACCAAAAAAGUGUUAAACAAAUCAAAAUAUAUGGUAUAUUUGAGAUUCUUCAAAGUAGCCAUCCUUUACCUUGAUGACAGCUUUGCAAACUCUUGGUGUUGUCUUAACCUGGAAUGCUUUUCCAACAGUCUUGAAGGAGUUCCCACAUAUGCUGAGCACUUGUUGGCUGCUUUUCCUUCACUCUGCGGUCCAACUCCUCCCAAACCAUCUCAAUUGGGUUGAGGUCAGGUGAUUGUGGAGGCCAGGUCAUCUGAUGCAGCACUCCAUCACUCUCAUUCUUGGUCAAAUAGCCCUUACACAGCCUGGAGGUGUGUGAGGUCAUUGUCCUGUUGAAAAACAAAUGAUACACUCACUAAGCGCAAACCAGAUGAGAUGGCGUAUCACUGCAGAAUGCUGGUUACGCUUGCCUUGUAUUCUAAAUAAAUCACUGACAGUGUCACCA
rnacentral:lncRNA from 1 species